CCCUGGGGGUUCUGGUAAUCCUGGAAGGCUUCCUGUCAGAGGUAUUUCACAUGCAUUCUCUCAUUUAAGACCCACGGCAACUCAGCAACAUAUUAUCCCCUUUUACAGAUGAGAAAGGGCUCAUUGAGGCAAAGGGAUUUAUUUAUUCAAGUUUACAUGGCUGCCUGUGGCAGGGUUGGGUGAACCAGGGCUGCUCUGCCUCUGUGCCUGCUAUGCCAAGUGAGAAUAGGGUACUCAUCCCAGGAUCAUCUUUGCAGGCAUCCAGCUGUUUCCCGUGCCCACCUGCCCCCUCAUUAGGUUCUGUAAGAUCACCGUCCUGACCCCCAGGAGCACACUCACCCAUGGGGUCAGGCUGCUAUUAGAAAUUCCUUCCAGAGAUGCCAGGUGAGAGGGAGGCAGGCAGACAGACAUCUGUGGGGGUCACAUUCACCCCAGACAGUUCAUUGCCGGAAGGAAGCCACAUGCCUCACGUCGAAGCUCAUCUGAUUGGAGUCAGACACAGCCAGAUACAGUCAUGAUUGUGUCCAGAGGCCCACGGGGGCUGGCGGGGCCCUUCACGACAGCUGCUACGGCACAGCCCAUCUGGAAGGGCUCUUUUUGUUCAACGCUUUAACCCUCUGAGGACCCUCGGGACCAAGGGAUGCCACACCCUGGGUGAGAGAGAUACUCAAGGAGGAGGGUCCCUCUACAGAGGAUGAGUUAGGACACCCGGGACGGGCCCACAUUUUCCUCCCCACUCUGCUUCCCAGGUAGAUUGAGGGUAGGAGGAGGCCCACAUUCCACAGAGGAGAGACUGUGAGCCUCUUGAGUUUUAAGAAUCUGUGAAGGAACACCCCCAAACACCUACCAUGCACCCCCAAGCAAGUAAAGGGGCUCCCUGAGUUCCAGCAGCUUGAGUAAAGGCCCAGAAAGUGACCCUGUGAGGCUCAUGGAGAAGGGAAUGUUGAGGGCCCAGCCUGCACUGGGUGGGCAGCGCCCUGCCCCAACUUCCCGCAGGUUCCCAGGAAAUGAACAAAAGGCUCCCUCAGCUCACUCGUUGGCAGAUGUCUCUGACCUGAGGCCAUUCAUCAACUCUCACUCAGGCACUCAGCCCCCCAGACAGCCUGGAGGUGUUGGCAGCACACCAGAGAGACUUUCAGCCAAAGACAGGUCUGGUUUCCCUGAAGAAAAAGAAACCUGAACUGGCUGCCUUCCCAGAGCGUCUGCUUGGGGGACCCACCCAAGUAAACAAAGCUGUUAAAUGGGGGCAUGUGGGCCAAAGCCCGCUGCACUAGAAGCUCCCGCUGCAGCAGUGCUGCCCUGCCCCAGGCACCACUCUAGCAAGAGAGAGCCUCUCACCACCGUGGGGCCUGACCCUGCUGCUGACCAGCCUCUGCUACCCACAGCCUGGACCCUCUCUCCACCUGGAGCCCCUCUCCUUCCUGCCUCCCUCUGAUUCAUGCCCGGGAGCUCAUACAGACCCAUCACAUCCACCCCCUGCCACCUCUGCAAGCUUGGACAGGAGGUGAGCUCCUCCGAGCUGCAGCUUCCUCAUCUGUAAACUGGGAAUAACAGGAUCUCUAUCAAAGAUGAUGGUGACUAUUCAGAACAGACAAAGCCACAGAGACAGAAACAGAUGAAUGGUUUCCAGGGCUGGGGCAGGAGGAAUGUGGAGUACCUGCUUCAUGGGUACAGGGUUUCUGGUUUGGGGUGAUGAAAAUGUUCUCACACAAGAUCAUGGUGAUGGUUGCACAACCUCAUGAAUGGACUUAAUGCCACUGAAUUGUACACUUUAAUAUGAUUUCAAUGGUAAAUUUUAUGUUAUGUGUAUUUUGCCACAACAAAAAAAAGUUCCUAUGAGAUUAAAUGAAAUGAAGUUUGUAGAAAUGAUUGCACCACCGGGUACAUUAUAGAUCCUCAACAGAUUUUAAUGUCCUUGCUUCCCUGAGAUCAUCACAUUGAAAUGUAGACAAUAUACCCUGCUCUACCCCACAUGCCUCCCCAGGGUGGACUAUUUUUCUAUUUAGAUACUUGCUCCAACAUGCUAAUAGGAUGAAUCCAUGUUUUUCAUAAAGUAAAGCAUUUGAUUCACCAGUAGGAGAGAGAGUAUCCAAUGCUGCCACCCCUGUUCCCUCUUCUGGACUUACCUGUUUCACUGGCCUGGUCUAGGGU
rnacentral:lncRNA from 10 species